GAACACUACUCGUCUGAAUCAUCUAAAUCAGAAUGUCCACGUUCCUUGAGGUGACGCUGGCCAUAGUUGACGACUCGAAUCUUGCGGUACAACUCGUAUGAAACGUAUGCAUCUUUUGCUGCAUACUCAAUGUUGAUAUCAUCAAGUGGGCCCUUCUCCCAAAGUUUGUGCUGAUACUUUGGGAAACUGGUCUUCAUAUCACCAUAUGACUCGUCGAUCAAGGCAACUGCCAUAUGAGCCAUCGAAGUCCUGUCAUGUCGAAGCCUGAAUAUCGUUUGGAGAUCAACGAGGCAACUAGCUGGUAUCUAAAUACCGAAGCUGUGCCUCGUCUUCAGCUUGUCGUUCCUUAUGUCAACGGAAGCAAAAGUGAUGCCGCUGCGAAGGAACUCCAUGAGUUCUGGACAAUGCUUGUCACUCCUGCAACAGAAACAAAUUAAAAUGGAACAAAUGUUACAUACUACUGCAAUAAGGAAACAUGUUUCACUACAACUAAAGAGAAACUUAUCUUUAGGAUUCAAAUAGAACAUAUGCAAUGGAACCUAGAGAGAUCAC
rnacentral:lncRNA from 1 species